rnacentral:sRNA from 1 species
CUGCUUUUGUAGUAAUGUUAUGUAAUGUUCAGAGUAAUGUUAUGAACUGCUUGCUUAUGUGUGUAAAGACAGGAGAAUAUAUGUAACUAUUUACACUUUAUUUUUCCUAGAAAGUGAAAUGGAAGAUUCUUUAGCUACCUCUUUGUCAUCGUCAGCUUCCAGUAGUUCUGAGGAAAGCAAAGAGAGUUCCAGAGCUCGUGAAUCCUCCUCACGCAGUGGGCUAUCCAGAAGCAGCAAUCUCAGGGUAACCAGAACUAGAGCUGCUCAAAGAAAAACUGGUCCCGUUUCAUUAGAAAAUGGAUGUGGCAGAAAAGCCACUCGAAAGAGAGUCUAUUUAAGUGAUUCUGAUAACAAUUCAUUGGAGACUGGUGAAAUUCUAAAAGCCAGAGCUGGAAAUAACCGAAAAGUCUUAAGGAAGUGUGCUGCUGUGGCUGCCAAUAAAAUAAAGCUAAUGAGUGAUGUAGAAGAGAAUUCUAGCUCUGAAAGUGUCUGUUCUGGUCGGAAGCUGCCUCACCGCAAUGC